rnacentral:rRNA from 2 species
ACACGAGUGGCGAACGGGUGAGUAACACGUGAGUAACCUGCCCUUGACUCUGGGAUAACAUCUGGAAACAGGUGCUAAUACCGGAUAUUCAGCUCAAUUCGCAUGUUUUGGGUUGGAAAGCUUUUGCGGUCAUGGAUGGACUCGCGGCCUAUCAGCUUGUUGGUGAGGUAGUGGCUCACCAAGGCUUCGACGGGUAGCCGGCCUGAGAGGGCGACCGGCCACAUUGGGACUGAGAUACGGCCCAAACUCCUACGGGAGGCAGCAGUGGGGAAUAUUGCACAAUGGACGGAAGUCUGAUGCAGCAACGCCGCGUGCGGGAUGACGGCCUUCGGGUUGUAAACCGCUUUCACUCAUGACGAAGCUUUUGUGACGGUAGUGGGAGAAGAAGCACCGGCUAACUACGUGCCAGCAGCCGCGGUGAUACGUAGGGUGCGAGCGUUGUCCGGAUUUAUUGGGCGUAAAGAGCUUGUAGGCGGUUUGUCGCGUCGGGAGUGAAAACUCAGUGCUUAACACUGAGCUUGCUUUCGAUACGGGCUGACUUGAGGAAGGUAGGGGAGAUCGGAAUUCCUGGUGGAGCGGUGGAAUGCGCAGAU